rnacentral:rRNA from 1 species
CGCGUAGGCGGAGGACCAAGUCCGGGGUGAAAUCUUUCGGCUCAACCGGAAAACUGCCUUGGAUACUGGUCUUCUUGAGGGAGGUAGGGGCAGGUGGAACUUCCGGUGGAGCGGUGAAAUGCGUUGAUAUCGGAAGGAACGCCGGUGGCGAAAGCGGCCUGCUGGAUCUCUUCUGACGCUGAGGCGCGAAAGCUAGGGUAGGCGAACG